CAGAGCAGGGAGACCCAAGCGGUCUACUUCCGAGGCGGGCCCUUCCCCGUGGCUGAGGCAGGGAGGGUCUCCUCAUGAGGACGUGGCUCUGCGACUUUACUUUCACUGGAAACGGAAGCCGUCUGUGUUUCCACCUUGCAUGCUUGUGGGGGGAUGUAGGCUGUUGAUGACCAGGAUGAAAAAUUUAUAUGGGGAGGUGUCAGGAGAACAUUUCAGGAGCCCGGGACUCCAACCUGCCGGCUCUUUCCAAGCUGGAAAUACCUUCUCCUGAGCCACGGUGAUGGACGUGAGGAGAGAAGGACUCAGGGCAGCGUCUGGUAUGCUGACCCCAGCCAUCGACGUGAGACGCUGGCCCUGCAGUGCAGCCCAGCCCCUCAGUGGUGAAUCAGUGCAUUGUGGACACAGGUACCAAUGUCCCCUUUGCUUUCUUUUUAUGAAGAACUCUGUCUUUUAGGGAUUGUACUUACAUGCUACUGUCAGGGAGAUCUUCCACCCAUCUCAGGAACUGAAGGAUAAAUACUCAGCAACGUUUCAGCACAGUUGCCUCUUUUGUUUGUUAUAAAACAAAAUACAGCGGGCCAGUUUCCCAGCCGGUAGAAAAAUGCCUGUGUCUUGAUAGAAAUAGGCUUCGGUUUCAUGCAAAGGAAAUUUGAGCGAGGACAGGGCACACAGUCUGUACACAGCAGUUCCACGGUGCUGUGAUCGCUCUAAUAUUC
rnacentral:lncRNA from 1 species